AAGUCUUAAAAAUAUAACUGAAAAUAAGUAAACUUUACUAAACUAAAAAAAAUAUUCUUCUGAUUGAAAAUUACCUUUAUAUUAUGAGUGAAUUCAAGAAUGUGGCAAUUGCCUUAUUCCAAUAAUUUUAACCCAACUAUCGAUCAGUGGAUUCCCUAAUUUAAUUAAAGAGAGUAAUUAAAUUUAUUUAAUUAGAAUUUAUUUAAUGAAUGGAUCUAAAAAAAGACAACUUAGAAAUCAAUUUAUUACGUUGAAGAAAAAAAAUUAUUCAAAUAAAUCAAAAGUAAUACAUGCCUAGGCUCCAUUCAAGUGAUAUUUGAAAUUGAGGCUAAAAGAACACUAUACAUUAAAUUUCACGAUCAAAUGCAGAAGAAGAAGUCGGUUUGGUCGGUUUAUAGCACUCACAGCGCGUUUCUCUCAUAAGAGAGAUGAAGAUAGGAUAAGCUUAUAUAGAGUGUCACGGAUGGCUAGGAUCGCUUUGAGGAGGA